AUUGAACGCUGGCGGCAUGCCUUACACAUGCAAGUCGAACGGCAGCACGGGGGCAACCCUGGUGGCGAGUGGCGAACGGGUGAGUAAUGCAUCGGAACGUACCCGGAAGUGGGGGAUAACGUAGCGAAAGUUACGCUAAUACCGCAUAUUCUGUGAGCAGGAAAGUGGGGGACUGCAAGGCCUCACGCUUUCGGAGCGGCCGAUGUCGGAUUAGCUAGUUGGCGGGGUAAAGGCCCACCAAGGCGACGAUCCGUAGCGGGUCUGAGAGGAUGAUCCGCCACACUGGGACUGAGACACGGCCCAGACUCCUACGGGAGGCAGCAGUGGGGAAUUUUGGACAAUGGGCGCAAGCCUGAUCCAGCCAUGCCGCGUGAGUGAAGAAGGCCUUCGGGUUGUAAAACUCUUUCGGCGGGGAAGAAAUUGCUUAGGUUAAUACCUUGAGUAGAUGACGGUACCCGCAUAAGAAGCACCGGCUAACUACGUGCCAGCCGCCGCGGUAACAC
rnacentral:rRNA from 1 species